CGAAGGAUGCAAGCGUUAUCCGGAUUCAUUGGGUUUAAAGGGAGCGUAGGCGGACUUAUAAGUCAGUGGUGAAAUCUCUGGGCUUAACCCAGAAACUGCCAUUGAUACUGUAGGUCUAGAGUACAUUUGCUGUGGCGGAAUAUGACAUGUAGUGGUGAAAUACUUAGAUAUGUCAUAGAACACCGAUUGCGAAGGCAGCUCACAAAAAUGUAACUGACGCUGAGGCUCGAAAGUGCGGGGAUCAAACAGGAUUAGAUACCCUGGUAGUCCGCACUGUAAACGAUGAUUACUCGCUGCUUGAAGGUAACUUUGAGUGGCUUAGCGAAAGCGAUAAGUAAUCCACCUGGGGAGUACGCCGGCAACGGUG
rnacentral:rRNA from 1 species